rnacentral:rRNA from 1 species
UGUGUCGUAAGGCAUGCUGGAGCGGCUACAAAAGCAAAUGUAGGCAUAAGUAACGAUAAAGCACAUGAAAAAUGUGCUCGCCGAUAGACUAAGGUUUCCUGAUCAAUGUUAAUCAGAUCAGGGUUAGUCGGGUACUAAGGCAAAGUCGAAAGGUGACACCGAUGUACAACUGGUUAAUAUUCCAGUACCAGCAUUCAUUGUGAUGGAGUGACGGAGAAGCGUAAGGUCCGCGGCCGGACGGAUGUGGCCGUUAAAGGAAAUAGGUAUAUCUUCUACAGGUAAAUCCGUAGUUGAUGCUGAAUUCUGACAGUACACCAAGCCUUCGGGUAAGGUGAUAGUGAUCUGAAGCACGCUCCCAAGAAAAACUUCUAAACUUAGAUGAAUGCUGCCCGUACCGCAAACCGACACAGGUAGUCAAGAAGAGUAUUCUAAGGCGCUCGAGUGAACCAUGGCUAAGGAACUCGGCAAAUUAACCCUGUAACUUCGGGAAAAAGGGUGCCCGUCGCAAGACGGGCCGCAGAGAAUUGGUCCAGGCGACUGUUUAACAAAAACACAGGGCUCUGCUAAAUCGAAAGAUGAUGUAUAGGGCCUGACACCUGCCCGGUGCCGGAAGGUUAAGGAAGGGGGUAAGCCGCAAGGCAAAGCUCUCGACUGAAGCCCCGGUAAACGGCGGCCGUAACAAUAACGGUCUUAAGGUAGCGAAAUUCCUUGUCGGGUAAGUUCCGACCUGCACGAAUGGUGUAACGAUCUGGACGCUGUCUCGGCCAUGAGCUCGGUGAAAUUGUAGUAUCGGUGAAGAUGCCGAUUACCCGCAACGGGACGGAAAGACCCCGUGCACCUUCACUACAACUUUGCAUUGAAUUCGGUUAAAUGAUGUGUAGUAUAGCUGGGAGACUUUGAAGCAGCGGCGCCAGCCGGUGUGGAGUCACCGUUGAAAUACCAGCCUUUAUUUGAUUGGUUUCUAACCCCUUAACGGGGAGACAGUGCAUGGUGGGUAGUUUGACUGGGGUGGUCGCCUCCAAAAGAGUAACGGAGGCUUCUAAAGGUACCCUCAGCACGCUUGGUAACCGUGCUUCGAGUGCAAUGGCAUAAGGGUGCUUGACUGGGAGACAUACAGGUCGAACAGGUACGAAAGUAGAGCAUAGUGAUCCGGUGGUUCCGUAUGGAAGGGCCAUCGCUCAAAGGAUAAAAGGUACGCCGGAUAACAGGCUGAUCUCGCCCAAGAGCUCAUAUCGACGGCGAGGUUUGGCACCUCGAUGUCGGCUCAUCACAUCCUGGGGCUGGAGAAGGUCCCAAGGGUCCGGCUGUUCGCCGGUUAAAGUGGUACGUGAGCUGGGUCCAGAACGUCGCAAAACAGUUCGGUCCCUAUCUGUUGUGGGCGUUAGAGAUUUGAGAGGACCUGACUCUAGUACGAGAGGACCGUGUUGGACGAACCUCUAGUGUACCUGUUGUGGCGCCAGCUGCAUCGCAGGGUAGCUAUGUUCGGAAAGGAUAAGCACUGAAAGCAUCUAAGUGCGAAGCCUACCUCAAGAUGAGAUCUCUUUUAAGGGCCGUGGAAGACUACCACGUUGAUAGGCUGCAGGUGUAAAGGUGGUAACAUC